AGUAGCGUGGCCGAGUGGUCUAAGGCGCUGGUUUUAGGCACCAGUCUUUCGAGGCGUGGUUUCGAAUCCCACCGCUGCCA
rnacentral:tRNA from 1 species